UACGUAGGGUGCGAGCGUUGUCCGGAAUUAUUGGGCGUAAAGAGCUCGUAGGCGGUUUGUCGCGUCGGCCGUGAAAACUUGGGGCUUAACUCCAAGCUUGCGGUCGAUACGGGCAGGCUGGAGUUCGGUAGGGGAGACGUGGAAUUCCUGGUGUAGCGGUGGAAUGCGCAGAUAUCGGGAAGAACACCAGUGGCGAAAGCGGCUCUCUGGGGACCAUCUGACGCUGAGGCGCGAAAGCGUGGGGAGCGAACCGG
rnacentral:rRNA from 1 species